rnacentral:rRNA from 1 species
CCUACGGGUGGCAGCAGUGAGGAAUAUUGGUCAAUGGCCGGAAGGCUGAACCAGCCAUGCCGCGUGAAGGUCAGUGCCCUAUGGGCGUUAAACUUCUUUUGUGCGGGAGCAAUAAUGGUCACGUGUGGCAAGACUAGGGUACCGUACGAAUAAGCAUCGGCUAACUCCGUGCCAGCAGCCGCGGUAAUACGGGCGAUGCAAGCGUUAUCCGGGUUUAUUGGGGUUAAAGGGUGCGUAGGCUGUGAGGUAAGUCAGCGGUGAAAUGCCCCCGCGCAACGGGGUGAAGUGCCAUUGAUACUGGCUUGCUGGAAUGCGGAUGAGGUGGGAGGAAUGUGUGGUGUAGCGGUGAAAUGCAUAGAUAUCACACAGAACACCGAUUGCGAAGGCAUCUCACGAAUCCGCGAUUGACGCUGAUGCACGAAAGCGUGGGUAUCAAACAGGAUUAGAUACCCGAGUAGUC